GAUGAACGCUGGCGGCGUGCCUAAUACAUGCAAGUCGGGCGAACGGACGAGAAGCUUGCUUCUCUGAUGUUAGCGGCGGACGGGUGAGUAACACGUGGAUAACCUACCUAUAAGACUGGGAUAACUUCGGGAAACCGGAGCUAAUACCGGAUAAUAUUUUGAACCGCAUGGUUCAAAAGUGAAAGACGGUCUUGCUGUCACUUAUAGAUGGAUCCGCGCUGCAUUAGCUAGUUGGUAAGGUAACGGCUUACCAAGGCAACGAUGCAUAGCCGACCUGAGAGGGUGAUCGGCCACACUGGAACUGAGACACGGUCCAGACUCCUACGGGAGGCAGCAGUAGGGAAUCUUCCGCAAUGGGCGAAAGCCUGACGGAGCAACGCCGCGUGAGUGAUGAAGGUCUUCGGAUCGUAAAACUCUGUUAUUAGGGAAGAACAUAUGUGUAAGUAACUGUGCGCAUCUUGACGGUACCUAAUCAGAAAGCCACGGCUAACUACGUG
rnacentral:rRNA from 1 species